rnacentral:rRNA from 2 species
AUUAAUUUGAGAGUUUGAUCCUGGCUCAGGACGAACGCUGGCGGCGUGCCUAAUACAUGCAAGUCGAACGAACUCUGGUAUUGAUUGGUGCUUGCAUCAUGAUUUACAUUUGAGUGAGUGGCGAACUGGUGAGUAACACGUGGGAAACCUGCCCAGAAGCGGGGGAUAACACCUGGAAACAGAUGCUAAUACCGCAUAACAACUUGGACCGCAUGGUCCGAGCUUGAAAGAUGGCUUCGGCUAUCACUUUUGGAUGGUCCCGCGGCGUAUUAGCUAGAUGGUGGGGUAACGGCUCACCAUGGCAAUGAUACGUAGCCGACCUGAGAGGGUAAUCGGCCACAUUGGGACUGAGACACGGCCCAAACUCCUACGGGAGGCAGCAGUAGGGAAUCUUCCACAAUGGACGAAAGUCUGAUGGAGCAACGCCGCGUGAGUGAAGAAGGGUUUCGGCUCGUAAAACUCUGUUGUUAAAGAAGAACAUAUCUGAGAGUAACUGUUCAGGUAUUGACGGUAUUUAACCAGAAAGCCACGGCUAACUACGUGCCAGCAGCCGCGGUAAUACGUAGGUGGCAAGCGUUGUCCGGAUUUAUUGGGCGUAAAGCGAGCGCAGGCGGUUUUUUAAGUCUGAUGUGAAAGCCUUCGGCUCAACCGAAGAAGUGCAUCGGAAACUGGGAAGCUUGAGUGCAGAAGAGGACAGUGGAACUCCAUGUGUAGCGGUGAAAUGCGUAGAUAUAUGGAAGAACACCAGUGGCGAAGGCGGCUGUCUGGUCUGUAACUGACGCUGAGGCUCGAAAGUAUGGGUAGCAAACAGGAUUAGAUACCCUGGUAGUCCAUACCGUAAACGAUGAAUGCUAAGUGUUGGGGGGUUUCCGCCCUUCAGUGCUGCAGCUAACGCAUUAAGCAUUCCGCCUGGGGAGUACGGCCGCAAGGCUGAAACUCAAAGGAAUUGACGGGGGCCCGCACAAGCGGUGGAGCAUGUGGUUUAAUUCGAAGCUACGCGAAGAACCUUACCAGGUCUUGACAUACUAUGCAAAUCUAAGAGAUUAGACGUUCCCUUCGGGGACAUGGAUACAGGUGGUGCAUGGUUGUCGUCAGCUCGUGUCGUGAGAUGUUGGGUUAAGUCCCGCAACGAGCGCAACCCUUAUUAUCAGUUGCCAGCAUUAAGUUGGGCACUCUGGUGAGACUGCCGGUGACAAACCGGAGGAAGGUGGGGAUGACGUCAAAUCAUCAUGCCCCUUAUGACCUGGGCUACACACGUGCUACAAUGGAUGGUACAACGAGUUGCGAACUCGCGAGAGUAAGCUAAUCUCUUAAAGCCAUUCUCAGUUCGGAUUGUAGGCUGCAACUCGCCUACAUGAAGUCGGAAUCGCUAGUAAUCGCGGAUCAGCAUGCCGCGGUGAAUACGUUCCCGGGCCUUGUACACACCGCCCGUCACACCAUGAGAGUUUGUAACACCCAAAGUCGGUGGGGUAACCUUUUAGGAACCAGCCGCCUAAGGUGGGACAGAUGAUUAGGGUGAAGUCGUAACAAGGUAGCCGUAGGAGAACCUGCGGCUGGAUCACCUCCUUUCU